rnacentral:rRNA from 1 species
UACGUAGGUGGCGAGCGUUGUCCGGAUUUACUGGGCGUAAAGCGCGCGUAGGCGGCUCGUUAAGUGUGGAGUGAAAUGCCGGGGCUCAACCCCGGAACUGCUUUACAUACUGGCGAGCUUGAGGGAUGCAGAGGUUUGUGGAAUUCCUGGUGUAACGGUGAAAUGUGUUGAUAUCAGGAGGAACACCCAUGGCGAAGGCAGCAAACUGGGCAUCAUCCGACGCUGAGGCGCGAAAGCGUGGGUAGCAAACAGG